rnacentral:rRNA from 1 species
GAGUUCAUAUCGACGGCGGUGUUUGGCACCUCGAUGUCGGCUCAUCACAUCCUGGGGCUGAAGUAGGUCCCAAGGGUAUGGCUGUUCGCCAUUUAAAGUGGUACGCGAGCUGGGUUUAGAACGUCGUGAGACAGUUCGGUCCCUAUCUGCCGUGGGCGCUGGAGAAUUGAGGGGGGCUGCUCCUAGUACGAGAGGACCGGAGUGGACGCAUCACUGGUGUUCGGGUUGUCAUGCCAAUGGCACUGCCCGGUAGCUAAAUGCGGAAGAGAUAAGUGCUGAAAGCAUCUAAGCACGAAACUUGCCCCGAGAUGAGUUCUCCCUGAGACUUUAAGUCUCCUGAAGGAACGUUAAAGACGAUGACGUUGAUAGGCCGGGUGUGUAAGCGCAGCGAUGCGUUGAGCUAACCGGUACUAAUGAACCGUGAGGCUUAACCUUACAACGCCGAAG